UGGGAAGUCCAGCUGGGAGGCUGCAGUGAACCCAGACUGUAAGCCAUGCUCUUCUGCACUGCAGUGGAUGCUUACUGUAAGCUGAGUCCUCCUGGGCUGCAUGAGCCC
ensembl:miRNA Mir683-2 microRNA 683-2